rnacentral:rRNA from 1 species
UACAUGGGGUGCAAACGUUGCUCGGAAUUAUUGGGCGUAAAGCGCACGUAGGCGGUUCGUUAAGUCGGAUGUGAAAGCCCUCGGCUCAACUGAGGAAGUGCACCCGAAACUGGCGAGCUUGAGUACGAAAGAGGAUCGCGGAAUUCCCGGUGUAGAGGUGAAAUUCGUAGAUAUCGGGAGGAACACCAGUGGCGAAGGCGGCGAUCUGGGCAGACACUGACGCUGAGGUGCGAAAGCGUGGGGAGCAAACAGG